CGCCCUGUCUGGGCGUGUGCGACGUUGUUGUCACUCCACUUGGCGCUCAGACGGAGGGUUAGCUAACGCGAAACAUCAAGUGGUGUAUGUAUAGGUGUUUCUGUGGACGGUAGURUAUCUGCUGCAGCAUGGAUUCUGUGCCAGAGCCCAGGUCAGUCAGACGUUCCCCUCGCACGUCAAAGUCACCGGACAACAACGCAGCCAAAAAGGGCCGGAAGAAGACGAGCAACCUGCAGGAGACUCGGAGGAGAGGAAGAAUGGACAGAAGUAAAGGAGAAGAGGACAUAGCCAAUCAACUGAACA